rnacentral:snoRNA from 1 species
UUUUCCUGAUGAAAAAAAUAAAUCAGUUCUGCUUCUGAACGCCUUGAUGCUAAACCAUAAUACCAAAACCUUUCUGAAAA